GUGUGAAGGGAAGGUGGAACCUUUAAGGGAUGGGAUCUAGUGGGAGGACUCACCCUGCCCUGCUCUUUGAAUGCUGAGUCACCAGAGGAUGCACCUCCCUAGGAUGCACCACCCUUCAUGCAACAUGCUAGAACAUGAGUCAGGGGAACUUCACUGGAGCCUAUGCCAUGCUGCUUGAGUUCUCAACUCCCAAAACGGUAAAUGAAAUAAACCUCUUUUCUCUACAAUCACUCAGUCUCAGACAUUUUAGUGUGUCAACAGAAAGUUAAUAAAGGACCUUGCUACCAUUUUAUCUUUGGCGCACGUAGGGGCAAUUGGGUACAAUGGGUUAAACCGGUACUUCUAAGAACUCUGUAGUCCCCCACCGACAGGAUCCAUUCUCUCUUUUGACUGAAGGUAGGGUAAUCUUUGGACUGACAUACUGCAGCCUCAGGCUGCGGCAGUAUCAGAGUAGAUAACAAGUGUGGAUUGGACAUCACCAGUCUACCCAGGGUGCCCUCUACACCUGACUCCUCCCAAUGUCCUCCCCAGGAGGUUACCCUGAAGAAUCCCUCCAGCUUCCCUGUCCAGAGCCCCAGCCAUAUCCCUGGAUGCUGGGUGGCUGUAUUUCCAGAAGCCCGAGGUUGUGUAUAGCAGGUUGGAUUAGGGCGGAAGUGCUCCAGUUGGUCCUUCUUCUCCCAGUCCCCAUGGUCUCUCUCCAGGGCCUCUGCACAUCUGGACUGCCAUGCAAUCCUGGAUCCCAGCCUCUUCCUGUGGCUGUUUUCCAGAGGUAAAGAAGGCACUGCAUCAUUUCCUGCUGAUUUACCCAAGCCCUGCCCCAACCUGUGUAGGAGGGUUUUCCUCUGAGCUUUCCAGAACUUUUGGACUCCAUUCCACCAUUUGGAAGAGACUAGAAGAGACUCGUGCCACAAAACAAUCAAUUUCUCUGGCAAACAGACUUAAUUCAACUGGAACUUGGAGGUCUGAAGCUUCAACGAACCUGUCCUUUCAUCUUCUCCAUAUGUUUACAAGCCAGUGGAGAGGCCCAUGCAUCCUACCAAGACUUUGCACAGAGGUCCAAAAGCUGAGCUGUUCACACAGUCCCACUGAACGCCAGCACCCUUACCUCACCUCUGCCUGCUGUUUCCUUAACUCCACCCUCCCCGAUCUGCUGUUCAAAUCUGAAUGGGAGGUGUAUGUAGAGGGGCAAGUCAAAUAUUCAAAAUAAAGUAUUAAGCUGCAUCUUCCAAGAGAAUCCAA